rnacentral:lncRNA from 1 species
UCUAUUCAACAAUGGAGCAGGAGAAUCAGAAUUGUAUGCAAAAAAAAGUAGUUUGAACCUACUUCAGAGACUCAGAACUUGGUCUGAAAGAGUCAAGGGUUUUAUAAAUCUUGACUUAAUCACAGGAUUAAACCUUGGAAAAACCCUCCAAAUUCUAGGGGUUCUACCUCUAACUAGAUAUAGAGACGAAGAGGCGAGUAGUUGAAAUAGGCUCAAACAUCUCACUCAGAGACUCGCGAGAAAACAAACAAGUGCAGUAGAAAGUUCAAAGAAAACAUAGUAAAAAAAUGAUUCGAAGCGUAGUGAGAGUAGAAGAAACAGUAGAAAAAAACAUGCUUUAAGAAGGUUUUUAGAAGAAACUUAAAAUAGGUAAAGUAGAGGAGAAAAUAGUGAACACUUAAGCACAUAGUAGAAGAAUACAGUAGGCGAAGCAUAUCAGAAGAAUAGCAGAACAUAGUGAGGAGGCAUGUGAGAACAUAGCAUAAAAAACACAGAAAGAAUGGAACAAAGUAGAAGAACAUACGUGAUAAAGGGAAAACAUAAGAACACAUUAGGCACAAUACACACAACGAAAAGAAAAGUCAGAGAAACAUUUUGAAAAUUUUUUAAAAAUACUAAAUCGGGAAGAAGUAACUUUUGAAAGUAAUUUUUGAAAGAAAAGUUAGGAAAAUAGUUCAAAAACUCAGAUAGAUGAUAAAUACACAACAGAUCUAAGAAAAUAGAAGAAAACCUCGAAUGGUUAGGGUUUCAGAAGAAUCCUAAAAUGAGAAAGGCUUGGAAAAAUCUGAUCUAAGUCGGAUGCGGUCAGAAACAGGCUCAGAAGACCAAGAGCCACCAGAGCAAGGUCAGAGAUGGUCGGAAUCUUAGAAUUGGACAAGGUUUGGGCCAGGCUUCUUCAAGGUUUGACCUUGAAACCAUGGUAAUCAAAUAUGUAUAAGUCACAUGAGAUAUUUACAGGCCAUCAAUGGCUAUGGAAGCCAUGGAUUUGAUCGAUUUAGGUGGUGUUUGAAGGUGGAAGCUAGGGUUUCUAAGAGAGGUUGAGAGAGAACUGGGAGAGGAGGGGAUUCAAG